CCCUCCACGACUCCUCCAGCUCGGCGGCCGCAAGCGACCUCCGCCUUCCCAGGUGUGCCCUCCUGGAGACUGCCAGCUUCCAUCCUCUCCCCAAAAGGAGCCAAGCUUCUAGUCCUCGUGAGCCAAUUGCAAACCACCUUAGCCCAGAGUUUCGAGCCUUACCUUAUAGCGGGGGAGUGGGGGAAGAAAAAUAAUAAUAAUAAUAAUAAUAAUAAACGUCCAUCGAUUAAGGUCAAACGGGCCAGCCCAUUUCGGUGGGCUGGGGGAGGGAGGGGGGAAAAUGCGUGUCGUCACACAAACCCAGCUUGGCGGGAGCGAGUGCGAAUCCUGCUGCAAUCUCAGCCCUUGAAGGAAGCCGGUGAGUGGGUUAAAAGUGGGCACCAAGCAAAAAAAACAACAACAACCCACCGAAAACUGAGGGCUGGGGGGUUUUUGGGCGACGUUGUGGGGAUCUGGAGGCGGAGGGUGGUUUUUGGGGUGGCGUGUGGGGAGGCUGGCAUUCCCCCCCUUACCAGCUGUGCCCCUCUUCCUUCCCCCCCCACCCCUCUCUGAAGUGGUUGGCACACAGGAAACCCACCCCACUCUUUCCCCACCGAGCUACUCAACCCUCCCCGGCUGAAUUUUUUCAGCGAAAAAGUGGGUUGAGUUGGCAGACAGCGGUAAAGCCACAGGCGGGAACGGGGCGGAUUCCCGAGCUGUCAAUCACAGACCCCAGAUGAAAGCGUGGGGUGGGGUGGGGUGGGGUGGUUCUCUCUCUCUCUCUCUUUUUUUCUCCCCACAGCCCCACCUCAAACCAUCCAAGGAUCUUUAGAUCCUUGCUGGAGGCAGAUUCGCACGAUUCGGUCCAGCUCGUCGUCGGCUCCGUUUCCACAGGAUGGGAGACCACAAGGAGAUCAAAUGUUUGGCCCGUCUUGAUUACAGGAGUUAACAACCAUUGGUUUGGCGACUGUUUGAAGUUACGAUAACACUACGGGGAAAAAAAAAACGGGUUAGGACCGCCGUUCACACAUUACGGCCGCUCAAAAUUCGGACGCUUGGCGAUUUGUGACGGUCGCAGCGUCACGCGAUUCUCCUCCUUGCGACCUUCUGACGAGCAAAGUCCACAGGGAAGCCGAUUCACUUAAGAACCAUGUGAGUAAGUUAACCACGGCAGCGGUACUCACUUAACGACGGUGGAUAAGAGAGGUUGUAAAACGGGGCAAAACUCAAACCGUCUCACAUUGCAGCGGAAAAUUUUGAGCAGAGUGGUGGUCGUUAAGUCAACAACUAUCUGCAAAGCAGCCUCCGUGAGCCAGGCCUGACAUCGAUGCGACUGUGAAUGGCGGUUGCGUUUCAGGAAAUCAUGGUUUGUUUUAACCGUGGCUUGUUUCCUAAACUGCCUCUGAUUGGUCCUACACAAUAGGAAGUCGCCAAAUUUUUACAAUUUUAGGGGGUUUACAAGUGGCAGUUGGUGGAUUUGAGCCUGAAACACAACCCCUGAUCCACAAGGAAACAACACAAUUCGCACAACGCAUUUAACCCGGUUUAUAAAACCAUCCUAAUUCCCAGGACUGGAUAUUUUGCGAUCGAAAAUAUUCAUUUUGGGUUCCCCCAAAAGCUGUAAUUCCCCACCUCAAAAACUAACCAGGAUGGAAAAAAUGAGCCCAUUUUAUUGACGGCAGCAGCUAAGUUGGCAAAUAAUAGAAAUAAAUUUCCACUUGAAUUCAAACUUC